GAGGAGAUUCUUAAAGGUUGUCAAGGUUUCUGCUUCAACUCCAUGUCUCAGUAGUUUGUUCCUGAGUCACAAGGCUCUGCUAAAGAAGUGCUGUUCGGCUUCAGUUUUAUAGCAAAUGCACUUCCCCUUGAUUUUCACUGAUGUCCUAGAGUAUGUGAAUCACCCUUAGAAUGUUGUUGGAUCAACCGUAUCAAUGCCUUUGAGGAUUUUAAAUAUCUGGAUUUGGUCCCCACACAGUCUCCUCCACUCGAGACUAAACAAGUUUCAUUCCCCGAGUCUGUCACAUUAGGACACGUCCUUAAGCUCUGAGAGAUGCACUUGUUUGUUCUCCUCUGCACAGCUUCAAGUGCUGCUAUGUGUUUCUUGUUCUGUGGUGACCAGAGCUGCACACAUUACUCCAGAUGUGAUUUCACUAGUGCAUUUAUAUAGUUUGAGCGUAACAUCCCUUGACUUAAAUUCAAUAGAUUUUAUGAUGUAACCUAACAUUUUAUUUGCCUUUUUAAUUGCUUCUCUGCAUUGCCUUGUUGGUGAAAAUGUAUCAACAUAGACCCCUAAAUCCUUUUGUAAUUGAUUUUUCCUUUUGCCCAAGUGUAACUCUUUGCACUUUUCUACAUUAGACUGUAUUUUCUAGGUGUUUGCCCAAUUCUGAAGCUUGUCCAGUUCUUUUAGAAUUCUUCUUACUGUCUCUUCAGUGUCUGCCAUUCGUCCAAAUUUAGUGUCAUCUGCAAAUUUCACAAGUUUAUUAACUCGGCCAAACUCAAUGCCUUAAUAUAAAUUGAAGAAAGCAAUGGUCCAAAAUCAGACCACUGAGGGACCCCACUGAUGACCUCAUUUCAUGCUCCUCUUACCUGUACUUUUUAUCUCCUGCAGGUUAACCAACUAGAGAUCCAGUUUUGCAGGUGACCUCUGAUGCCUACAGCUUUUAAUUUCAGAAUGAAUCUUUGGUGUGGGAUUGACAGAGUCAGAGGCUUUCUGAAAGUCAAACAGGAUUCAUUUUGAAGAUUGGAGUCCCCAGAUGUUUCUUCUUUUUAAAAUCGCCACUCCAAUAUGCCUAAUAAGGGUUUAUAGAUGACAUUUUUGAUUUAUUUCAUUACAAUUGGCAAGAUCCCAUCCGGUCCAGGGCUUCGAUUUUUUGUCAGCAUUCUGAGAAUUUGUUUUUACUUCUGCAUAAGAGAGUCAAGCCUGGGAGGCCCGUUAAAGCGCAUUGAAUCAUUCCUUAUGUGAUGUUUGGGCUAUACAGGAAAUCAAUUGUUGUUGUUGUUGUUGCUCAAGUCCAUCCUGUUUGCUUUAUGUCUCAUUUAAAUGUUUCUAGAGUGUGAUUGGAGCCCACAUUUGGUAAAUCUCAUUGAUUGGACAUCAUUUAGAAAGGUUCAUGUGUACAUGUUGUGGGAGAUGGCCUGCGUCCUCACCCUUACCCAGCUGGGACUUUCUUGGGGUGGAAGGACCAGGAGAGAGAGCGUGCACAGGGCAUUAUCUCCCCCAGACUGCUAGCUUGCAUCCCCGCCUGGGUUGCAGUAGUGCCUCAGAUUCCCACAGGGAAUCAUGGGACAUGGAGUUCUUCAAUGCAGCCCUGUUGGAUUCCAUUGGUGCCACCAGGGGGUGCUGCAGGGAUUGGAGAGCCCUACAUCAUGGGGCUGCAAUGUCACCUGGAAGUGCUUUCAGACCACAUGUACAGAAGACUAGAAAUACUCCUGCGUGGGAGAUUAAAGGAGAUGCCUGACUCACAGGGAUGAGCCAGAGUCGGGAGAAAGGUUGACAAUGCUUGGGAGGAAGAGUGGAGGAGGCAGUUACAGAGAGGAAGCCGAUGACAAAGAGUUGUGCUUGUGCUUUAUUAUACUUUUGCUGUGGUGGUGGGAAAUGUGUGAUAAAGAAGAGUUUGCCAUAAACAACGACUCUUUGCCUUUUAUGCCUGUGUCCAUGCCUGUUUGUGUUGGUGGUUUGGGGAGCUGGAGCGCCCCCUGGUGUCCACACUGUGUAUCGAAGGUUCACAAUUCACAUCGCAGGUAUGGACAAACACCAACCCAUGAAGUCCAAGGAAUUCUCUGUAGACCACUGCCAUCAGAUUGUGGUGAGGCAUCGAUCAGGUGAAUGGGACAGAGUUAUCUGGGGAGCUGGUGGUCCCUUUGUCAUUUGUGUCUUAUUAUUAAUUGGUGGUUGGUUACAAAAUUAAGAAAACAAAAAUUGAAUGCAGCUGCUUAAAAACAGAAACGUAACAAAGGAGCUCAUGAAAAUGAAUACCAACAAAAGGCUGUUGCCUUUGCAGCAAUAAAUGGCUUCUAAUUAAGAAAUGGUCUAAAGCAAAAUGUGUGUUCAAGAGACUAAAUGGAAGAGGAGUAAG